rnacentral:rRNA from 14 species
UGUCGAAGGCGUGGUGGACGACGAGACGAAAGGACGAGAGCAGAUGCUCGUGGAUCUCCGUGCCGCUGAACGCCU